rnacentral:rRNA from 1 species
UACAGAGGUCUCAAGCGUUGUUCGGAUUCAUUUGGCGUAAAGGGUGCGUAGGCGGCGCGGUAAGUCGGGUGUGAAAUCUCGGAGCUUAACUCCGAAACUGCAUUCGAUACUGCCGUGCUUGAGGACUGGAGAGGAGACUGGAAUUCAUGGUGUAGCAGUGAAAUGCGUAGAGAUCAUGAGGAAGACCAGUGGCGAAGGCGGGUCUCUGGACAGUUCCUGACACUGAGGCACGAAGGCCAGGGGAGCAAACGGG